CCCACGGCUCACGCCGUGGGCUACUCUCUGUCGGCCCCCCGGGCCU
rnacentral:sRNA from 1 species